AAAGGGAGACCUAAUUCAGGUAGGAGACGAAAAAAAAGUAGUCCCUACCAGGAAUCAAUCCCAAAAGGUCGGAGCGAGGCGAAAUUGGCCUUCAAACUAGGUUCUGGGUUCAAACAAGACCUGAAUCAGGAACAAGGGCUAUUAGCUCAGGUGGUUAGAGCGCACCCCUGAUAAGGGUGAGGUCCCUGGUUCGAGUCCAGGAUGGCCCACCUGCACAGGUGGCAAAAACAAGAGAAGCUCCGAAUCAGCACCUUAUCUUACUGACAUAGUAAGAGAGAAUGCUGGCUCUGAGUAAAGAGUCCAGAGGAACCUUGAAAACUGCAUAGAGCUAGGUGAAAAAGCCAAAAAAGAAGACCGCAAG
rnacentral:tRNA from 1 species